UAUCAGACCUCUAGUAAUAGUAAAAUCAAUCAAUAAUUUCCAAAUCUUUUGUAAUUUCCAAAACCCUUUUUGUGGUAGUAAAAUCCUUAUAAUACCAAAAUUCCUUCAAUACCGAAUUCCUUUGAUGCACUGAACUUUAAAAUUUGAUAAUUCUCAAUUUAACCGUUAGAUUGAACUCAAAUUAUUUGAGAAGUAAGGUAAUACCUUUAACUCUUUUAUAUCCAAAUUUCAACUAUCGAUUCUUUACAAAACUCUAGAUAACACAAUUUUAGUAGCACGGCCUUUACAUGUUGACUUACAAACACCUAUAUACUAAUUUUGCGAUUUCUUACAAACCCAACACUCAAAUGAUAUGAAAUUUUUUUGUAUAGCUUUUCAAUAUUAUAACUACGCCUUUGGCAAGUUUGAGCCAAAAUUCAUUCAAAAAUGCUCAAAAAAAAUGGCUCAAAAUAUAACCAUCAAUAAUUCGGUUCACUUACUUCCUUAAUUUGCAAGCUUUGACUUCGGCCAGCCAUUUCUUCCUCAUUUCAGAUCUAAUUUCAUCAAAUCUUAUACAAUAGUUGAAGCCCUUUAAGUCAACUUUUCAACCCCACCUUCCGAUUGUUAAAUGCCUUUCUA
rnacentral:lncRNA from 1 species